rnacentral:rRNA from 1 species
CGGACGGGUGAGUAACGCGUGAGGAACCUGCCUCAGAGUGGGGGAUAACACACCGAAAGGUGUGCUAAUACCGCAUAACAUAUGGGAGGGGCAUCCCUUUCAUAUCAAAGAUUUAUUGCUCUGAGAUGGCCUCGCGUCCAAUUAGCUAGUUGGCGGGGUAACGGCCCACCAAGGCGACGAUUGGUAGCCGGACUGAGAGGUUGAACGGCCACAUUGGGACUGAGACACGGCCCAGACUCUACGGAAGGCAGCAG